rnacentral:rRNA from 1 species
UACGUAGGCGGCAUGACAAGUCUGGUGUGAAAUAUCUCGGCUCAACCGAGAAAACGCACUGGAAACUGUCAAGCUUGAGUAUCGGAGGGGAAGCUAGAAUUCCUGGUGUAGGGGUGAAAUCUGUAGAUAUCAGGAAGAAUACCGGUGGCGAAGGCGAGCUUCUGGCCAGAUACUGACGCUGAGAUGCGAAAGCGUGGGGAGCGAACAGGAUUAGAUACCCUGGUAGUCC